UACGGAGGGAGCUAGCGUUGUUCGGAAUUACUGGGCGUAAAGCGUACGUAGGCGGCUUUUUAAGUUAGAGGUGAAAGCCUGGAGCUCAACUCCAGAAUUGCCUUUAAGACUGAAGAGCUCGAGUCCGGGAGAGGUGAGUGGAAUUCCGAGUGUAGAGGUGAAAUUCGUAGAUAUUCGGAAGAACACCAGUGGCGAAGGCGGCUCACUGGACCGGUACUGACGCUGAGGUACGAAAGCGUGGGGAGCAAACAGG
rnacentral:rRNA from 1 species